GUGCCUUCCUGACCCUGGGCAGUGCCCUCCUGACCCUGCCAUCCCCCUUUUCCAGUCGGACAUGCAGAGCUGGGAGGAGCAGAGCCAGGGAGCCAUUUACACCGUGGAAUACGCCUGCAGUGCCAUCAAGAACAUGACUGACAGCACCGUGUACUUCAAGAGCAUCGACAGCCUCCUCAGGCACGCCAUCGCCACCAAGGAGCAGCUCCACGCCGCCCAGGGCAAGAGCACUGUUGCCCCCCAAGCCAAGAAUCCUCCAGCCAGCUCCUGAUUUCCUCCAGACCAUCCUGUGCUGCCUUUCCCAGCCCAGCUCUGCUCUCCAGCCUCGGGAAGGAGCGAGGAACAACCUGCCCAACCUGUGGGGCUGCCCAGGUAGAGAGUCCAGAAGGUUCUGGGCCUUCCCUGAGUGGGAAAAUCCUGCCUUUGGGAGGUGCUCUCGUGUCCCUUUCCACAGCACCUGCCCCAGGGAGAGGGGCUGGUUGGGUUUGUCCUUUCCAGUUUCUUCCUCUGCCUCUUGGUCACAGAAAUGUCUCAGAAAAAAGCCAAAAAAAACCCCCAAACCAGGCCUUGCUUUCAGUGUUUUGGAGGUGGUUGUGGAAGGGCUGGAAUGUGGGCACGCUCCAGCUCUGUCCAGCAGGAAUUCUGCAAGGAGAGCUUUUCCUGUCUGUGUGCCAGGGGGUUGCUGGGUUCGGUUUUAACGAGAACAAUAAUAAAAAGAAGAGGAAAAGCAAAACAAAACACAAAAAAAAAAACCCCA